CAGCCGCCGCGGUAAUACGUAGGGGGCGAGCGUUGUCCGGAAUUAUUGGGCGUAAAGCGCGCGCAGGCGGUCCUUUAAGUCUGAUGUGAAAGCCCACGGCUCAACCGUGGAGGGUCAUUGGAAACUGGGGGACUUGAGUGCAGGAGAGGAGAGCGGAAUUCCACGUGUAGCGGUGAAAUGCGUAGAGAUGUGGAGGAACACCAGUGGCGAAGGCGGCUCUCUGGCCUGUAACUGACGCUGAGGCGCGAAAGCGUGGGGAGCAAACAGGAUUAGAUACCCUGGUAGUCCACGCCGUAAACGAUGAGUGCUAAGCGUUAGAGGGGUCACACCCUUUAGUGCUGUAGCUAACGCGAUAAGCACUCCGCCUGGGGAGUACGGCCGCAAGGCUGAAACUUAAAGGGAUUGGCGGG
rnacentral:rRNA from 1 species